GGAUGGUCAGCCACACUGGGACUGAGACACUGCCCAGACUCCUACGGGAGGCCGCAGUCGAGAAUCAUCCUCAAUGGACGAAGUCUGAAGGAGCGACGCCGCGUGCAGGAUGAAAGCCUUCGGGUUGUAAACUGCUUUUGUAUGGAAAGAAGUUCUAUUGUCUAAUAUAUGGUAGAAUUGACGGUACCAUGCGAAUAAGCCACGGCCAACUCCGUGCCAGCAGCCGCGGUAAUACGGAGGUGGCAAGCGUUACUCGGAAUUAUUGGGUGUAAAGGGCAAGUAGGCGGUCUAUUAAGUGAGGGGUGAAAUCUUCCGACUCAAUCGGAAAACUGCCCUUCAAACUACUAGACUUGAGGUUGGAAGAGGGAAACGGAAUUAGCAGUGUAAGGGUGAAAUCUGUAGAUAUUGCUAAGAACACCAGCGCGAAGGCGGUUUCCUGGUCCAAAUCUGACGCUAAAUUGCGAAAGCUAGGGUAGCAAACAGAAUUAGAUACUCUGGUAGUCCUAGCUGUAAACGAUGAGCACUAGGUGUUGGGUCUCACGACUCAGUGCCGCAGCUAACGCAUUAAGUGCUCCACCUGGGGACUACGGCCGCAAGGCUAAAACUCAAAGGAAUUGACGGGGACCCGCACAAGCGGUGGAACAUGUGGUUUAAUUCGAUGCUACGCGAAGAACCUCACCAGGGCUUGACAUGUAUGAAGUAGUGAACUGAAAGGGGAACGACCCGUAAAAUCGGGAACUUACACAGGUGCUGCAUGGCUGUCGUCAGCUCGUGUCGUGAGAUGUUGGGUUAAGUCCCGCAACGAGCGCAACCAUUGCCCUAUGUUGCCACCUGAGUAACUUGCUAUGCAAGUUGCUUAGCGCACUCUUAGGGGACUGCCCGGGAUAACCGGGAGGAAGGUGGAGAUGACGUCAAGUCAGUACGGCCUUUAUGCCCUGGGCUACACACGUGUUACAAUGGCUGGUACAAAGGGUUGCCAACCCGCGAGGGGGAGCUAAUCUCAAAAAGCCAGCCUCAGUUCGGAUUGGAGUCUGCAAUUCGACUCCAUGAAGCCGGUAUCGCUAGUAAUGGGAGAUCAGCUCGCUCCCGUGAAUACGUUCCCGGGUCUUGUACACACCGCCCGUCAAGCGAUGAAAGCUGGAAGUACCCGAAGUCCUAUGUAGAUAGGCCGAAGGUAAAGCCGGUGAUUGGCGCUAAGUCGAAACAAGGCA
rnacentral:rRNA from 1 species